UACGCAAAGAAUUGAUGAGGAAAACAAAAAAAACAAAAAAACAGGCUGCCAAGGGAAAUAAAGAAAGGUGCCGGCUGGAAUUCAACAAUUGAGGGAAGCCAAUUUUAUUUAUUUUCCACACACUUGAGGCUACUUUAUUAAAUUGAAGGGACGCACGGAAAUUGAGGAGCAGCUUGGAGUUCGUGGGGAAUAAAAUUGCAGACGCCGCCCCAUUCACGCAAGAAGGAAAAACGGCAUAUUCACUUCGCAAAUUAUUCACCGACAGGCAAUUAAUCGUAUCUGGAGAUGUCAAGGAGAUGCUCGCAACAAGUCUUGGAUGACAAAAUCCGGAGGGAGGAGACGAAGCAAGUUUAACAACAAAUUGACACGAUCUUUACCCAUAGCAAAGAUAUGUUCGGAGUAAAUGGUCAUGAAAUUUAGAGUGGCUAGAGAGGGCAAUUUAAACAUUUUGCAUUUUUUAAUGGUCCAUCAUUUCCCUCAUUUAUUGAAUAUUAAACGCCAUUUCAUAACCGUCCAUUUUCCCUAACCUUUCAUAUUCCGUACCUCCUUUCAUGGGAAGGAGUUUAUAAAGGGAAGUAGUGGUAUUGGUCCCCGAGUUGAGAUUUUCACAAAAUUGCACAAUCGCAGAGAGGUCUUGAAGACUUGGAAGCACCAAACAUAAUUUGAAAUUUGGUAUUUUGAA